ACCUGGCUGGCUCAGUUGGUAGAGCAUGCGACUCUUGUUCCCAGGGUUGUGGGUUUGAGCUCCACGUUGGAUG
rnacentral:tRNA from 1 species